rnacentral:rRNA from 1 species
UACGAAGGGGGCUAGCGUUGCUCGGAAUUACUGGGCGUAAAGCGCACGUAGGCGGAUCCUUAAGUCGGUGGUGAAAUCCUGAAGCUCAACUUCAGAACUGCCUUCGAUACUGGGGACCUUGAGUUCGGGAGAGGUGAGUGGAACUGCGAGUGUAGAGGUGAAAUUCGUAGAUAUUCGCAAGAACACCAGUGGCGAAGGCGGCUCACUGGCCCGGUACUGACGCUGAGGUGCGAAAGCGUGGGGAGCAAACAGG